rnacentral:misc_RNA from 1 species
AAGUCGUAACAAGGUUUCCGUAGGUGAACCUGCGGAAGGAUCAUUAAUAAAUGCUUCAUUGCAUCCACCUUUUGUGCACCGUAAAUUUUUCACUUGAAUUUUGUCUGAUUAAUCUUUGUUCUGAAAGGAACAUGAAUUAUAAUCUUAUACAACUUUUAACAAUGGAUCUCUUGGCUCUC